CUCGAUGAGUAGGGCGGGACACGUGGUAUCCUGUCUGAAUAUGGGGGGACCAUCCUCCAAGGCUAAAUACUCCUGACUGACCGAUAGUGAACCAGUACCGUGAGGGAAAGGCGAAAAGAACCCCGGCGAGGGGAGUGAAAAAGAACCUGAAACCGUGUACGUACAAGCAGUGGGAGCACAGGUUUACCUGUGUGACUGCGUACCUUUUGUAUAAUGGGUCAGCGACUUAUAUUCUGUAGCAAGGUUAACCGUAUAGGGGAGCCGGAGGGAAACCGAGUCUUAAUUGGGCGUUAAGUUGCAGGGUAUAGACCCGAAACCCGGUGAUCUAGCCAUGGGCAGGUUGAAGGUUGGGUAACACUAACUGGAGGACCGAACCGACUAAUGUUGAAAAAUUAGCGGAUGACCUGUGGCUGGGGGUGAAAGGCCAAUCAAACCGGGAGAUAGCUGGUUCUCCCCGAAAGCUAUUUAGGUAGCGCCUCGUGAAUUCAUCUCCGGGGGUAGAGCACUGUUUCGGCUAGGGGGCCAUCCCGGCUUACCAACCCGAUGCAAACUGCGAAUACCGGAGAAUGUUAUCACGGGAGACACACGGCGGGUGCUAACGUCCGUCGUGAAGAGGGAAACAACCCAGACCGCCAGCUAAGGUCCCAAAGUCAUGGUUAAGUGGGAAACGAUGUGGGAAGGCCCAGACAGCCAGGAUGUUGGCUUAGAAGCAGCCAUCAUUUAAAGAAAGCGUAAUAGCUCACUGGUCGAGUCGGCCUGCGCGGAAGAUGUAACGGGGCUAAACCAU
rnacentral:rRNA from 1 species